CUCUUAUAAACCUCAUGUUCAACUUCUCAGAUGCGAAGUUUAACCAAAGAACUUAGAUCUAAGAGGGCUAAACAACAGUUAAUUAGCUACAACCCAGGUUCGCACUAUUGAAAUUCUUAAAUUGAAUCAUACACACCGAGUUCAGUACAGUACUGAAUUUUAGGGCUUCAUUCUGUGGUUCCGGAUAAAUCCUUUACAAAUAUAUUCCUCAUGAUGCUUGGUUUGAAAAAAUCAACAGUACAAUUAAUAAUUUACAAAAUUGAAAUUUUAGAUAUUUAGUUUACUUUAAUUAUCGGGAUUUUCUAAUUCCAGGGUGCUUACCAUAAUAUACUAAAAAAUAAUUUCUUUGUAGAUUUUCCAGGUGAACACAAACGAGUUUUGUGGUAUUUAAUUUCUAUACGCUACUGUUUUGUUUACUUGAAUUUUAAGUGUAAAUGGCGAUAUCACGUUGCGUAGAUAUCAGUGAAGACUGCUAGUUCAACUGAAGGUCAAUCACUCAUUCGCAAUGGGUAUUGACUCUUGCCUUCUUAAUGGAUAGUAUACAAUGGAUCAAUACCGGAGGGCUGUAUACAAUAAUUGCGAAGCAUCUGGCACCAAGGAACAAGUCUUAUUUUAAAUAUUAACCAGUGACAAUGCUGAGAAACUAAUUGAAUUGCGUCUCUUAUAAAGGUGGCAGUUAGAGAAUCUGUUCUCCAGAAGAUGGAUUUUUACCAGACUGGACACCGUUGGAGUAUUUUAAAUGGGACACAUCAGCAAUAAGGUGAAUACACCCAACCCCCAAAAUUCUUACAAGACAGAGAAGCGUUAACAGCUAUUCUCCGAGAAGAGCAACACGGAAUGUUAAAAAUCCAUUUAAGAUGUGCAUGAUGUAGAGAGGGGAACAUAUUGAACACAUUUUGUGAAUUAAAAGCUACUUUAAAAA